rnacentral:snRNA from 1 species
GGUUGUAAGGUCAAUCUGAUGAUGACAUUGGUCUCCCCAUUGAUUGGGGAGUUUAUCAGACUGAUCUAGCUGGACAGGCAAGUGGCCCUUUUCUCCCUCUCUGCUUUACAGCACACUCAAUAGACAAGGACAAGCUUCCCUGAGAGAAGUGGCCUAUUAUUUUUUUCAAGGGUAAAGGCAGUACCUUCAGUCUUCAAUCUUUUCAGUCUGAAAAGAUUCCUCAUGCUUCCUGAGGAACAAAUGAAAUCUCUUA